UACGAAGGGGGGCUAGCGUUGCUCGGAAUCACUGGGCGUAAAGGGUGCGUAGGCGGCUCUGCACGUUCGUUGUGAAAUCGCCCGGCUCAACUGGGCGGGGUCAGCGGAUACGGCAGAGCUUGAGCAAGCUAGGGGCAAUGGAAUUCCCGGUGUAGUGGUGGAAUGCGCAGAUAUCAGGAGGAACACCGGUGGCGAAGGCGGGUCUCUGGGGCUGUAACUGACGCUGAGGAGCGAAAGCGUGGGGAGCGAACAGG
rnacentral:rRNA from 1 species